rnacentral:rRNA from 1 species
UUCCGGUUGAUCCCGCCGGACCCCACUGCUAUCGGGAUAGGACUAAGACAUGCUAGUCGAGCGCCUUCAAGCCAUGACGGAGGCGCGGCACAGAGCUCAGUAACACGUGGCUAACCUGCCCUCGGGACGAGAACACCCCCGGGAAACUGGGGCUAAUUCUUGAUAGGCGAAGACCUCUGGAAUGAGUCUUCACCCAAAGGACGCUUAGAUCAUGCUUUUAAGCUUCGCCCAAGGAUGGGGCCGCGACCGAUCAGGUUGUUGGUGAGGUAAUGGCUCACCAAGCCUUUAACCGGUGCGGGCCGUGGGAGCGGGAGCCCGGAGAUGGGCACUGAGACAAGGGCCCAGGCCCUACGGGCGCAGCAGUCGCGAAAACUUUGCAAUAAGCGAAAGCUUGACAGGGCUAUCCCGAGUGCCAUCCGCUGAGGAAGGCUUUCACCCAGUCUAGUAAGCUGGGGGAAUAAGGAGAGGGCAAGUCUGGUGUCAGCCGCCGCGGUAAUACCAGCUCUCCGAGUGGUGUGGAUGUUUAUUGGGCCUAAAGCAUCCGUAGCUGGCUGAGUUAGUCCCCUGUUAAAUCCGCCGAAUCAAUCGUUGGAUUGCGGGGGAUACUGUUCGGCUAGGGGACGGGAGAGGCAGACGGUAUUCUCGGGGUAGGGGUGAAAUCCUAUAA